GUGGUGCGAUGAAGAGCGCAGCCAACUGUGUGAAUUAAUGUGAAUGCGCAGACUGCUUUGAACAUCGACCUCUUGAACGCACAUUGCGGCCGUAGGCUUGCCUACGGCCACGUCUGGCCGAGGGUCGGCU
rnacentral:rRNA from 1 species